CACGUUUAAGUCCGGUCAGCCUCGGUGUACGUACAAAGACCACAGAGAGAUUGAGAACAUUUCACAUGUUUUCUUUGGCCUUAACAGGCCAGUGACCUUCAUUUACGGUUUAUUAUUCCAUUCGUCGAUUCAAUGCCGUUGACUUUGUGUUAAUUUCUUUUACAAUUCUAAUUUUCAUUGUCCUGAAAACUUGGAGAAAGAAGAUCUGCAUUUUUUGCUUCAGAUUGAUCCUUUAGCAUUGGUAACCGUGUUCUCAACAAGUAUAGGAGUUGUCUCUUAUCAACAAAUGUCCAAGCUUUGAUAUGUGCAAGAAAUUGGUUUAGGGGAUUUCAAGAAAUUGGUGAUGAGUUCAAGUUUGUGGAGGAGGAAGGAACUAUUGUUGCUACUUAAGUUUGAUUUUGUAUUGUUGACUUUGCUACUAAAUUUGGUUAUGUAUUGUUGACUUUGCUACUAAAUAGUUUUGUG